rnacentral:rRNA from 1 species
AAGGACGAACGCUGGCGGCGUGCUUAACACAUGCAAGUCGAACGGGAACAUCAGAAUAGUUUACAAUUUGAUGUUUUAGUGGCGGACGGGUGAGUAACACGUGGGCAACCUGCCUUAGAGCGGGGGAUAACAGCGAGAAAUCGUUGCUAAUACCGCAUGAAAUUAGGGUUUUGCAUGAAACUUUAAUGAAAGGAGAAAUCCGCUAUAAGAGGGGCCCGCGCCUGAUUAGCUAGUUGGUGGGGUAAAAGCCUACCAAGGCGACGAUCAGUAGCCGAUCUGAGAGGAUGACCGGCCACACUGGAACUGAGACACGGUCCAGACUCCUACGGGAGGCAGCAGUGGGGAAUAUUGCACAAUGGAGGGAACUCUGAUGCAGCAACGCCGCGUGGAGGAAGAAGGUUUUUGGAUUGUAAACUCCUGUCAUUUGGGACGAUAAUGACGGUACCAAAGGAGGAAGCCACGGCUAACUACGUG